AUGUCAGUUACAGAAGCCCUGUAUGAGGAGGGGACCCGGCUCACCGUGCUAGGAAGGCGCCCGGAAGUCCCCGGCGCUCCGCGAGCGGGUGGGCAAAGACCGGAUCCUCCCGGGCUGCGUGGGGAGCUCCGCCUGGCCCUGGUGCCCGGCGCGGGGUCGGGGGAGACCAGGGGCGAGUCCGGGACAACGCCCAGUUUUUGUCCCGGGACCCGAGACUGUGAGAACAGACCCCAGUACUUCGGCUUGGGCACUCGGCUGACCGUGCUGGACGACCUGAGCAAGGUGACCCCACCCAAGGUGGCCGUGUUUGAACCCUCAGAGGCAGAGAUCUCUCGUACCCAGAAGGCCACCCUCGUGUGCCUGGCCACCAACUUCUACCCUGACCACGUGGAGCUGAGCUGGUGGGUGAACGGCAAGGAGGCCCGCAGCGGGGUCAGCACGGACCCCCAGCCCCAGAAGGGGUGCACUGGCGUCAGUGACUCCACAUACUGCAUGAGCAGCCUCCUGAGAGUGUCGGCUGCCUUCUGGCACAACCCACGCAACCAUUUCCGCUGCCAAGUCCAGUUCUACGGUCUCUCGGCCGAGGACGAGGACCAGUGGGACGAGGAAAACAAUGGGCCCCUGCCCGUCACCCAGAACAUCAGCGCCGAGGCCUGGGGCCACGCAGACUGUGGCCUCACCUCAGUGUCCUACCAGCAGGGGGUCCUGUCAGCCACUGUCCUCUACGAGGUCCUGCUGGGAAAGGCGGCCCUGUACGCUGUGCUGGUCAGUGCCCUCGUGCUGGUGGCCAUGGUCAAGAAAAAGGACUCCUGAGACAAAAAGCAUCCAAACGUGCCUCCAGAGAAGCUCCUUCCCUCACCCUUGCCUGAGCCUCCUCGCUGCCCCCUUGUGCUCCCUGAGAGUCCUCUCUCCACCCCCCUUCCCUUCCUGCACAGACUCAUGCCCCCUCUCUGCAGAGAUGAACCAAUAAAAAUGGCAUGUAGCCUGGCCGUGUCUCGGGGGCCUCUGUGGGAGCUGCCAACCUCUGACCACUUUCUGCUUUUAGGAAGACACCAUCUUCGGGCCGUGAUGGACCCUUCUCCCUGGCCAAAGCUGCCUCCUAGAAUCCUUCCCACUGGGGGCCCCAAACCCCAGUGUCCAGACUGAGCCAUCCAGGCCCCCAAGGCAUAGGGUUUAUCUAAAGGGGAGCUGGGAUGGGAGGCCCCAUAACAAGGAAGUGGGGUGCACACAGGUGAACCUCACCUAACCAGCACAGGAUAGGGACAGGUGCCUCAUACUUUGGAACUCCUGGGCAUCUCUCCAGCUCAGACAGAAGUGUCAUUGAGGGUGCAGUUAGUUGUCCCCCAUGCCCAUCUCACCCCUCCAGCUCAUCAUUUAGGAUUGGACUAGCACUGAGCUCUCCCUGUGUGUCUAUCUGGGUUAGAAUCCUCAACAGAGCACACACACACACACAAAACCUAAACCAGUUGCCAUCGACUCCGAUCCAUGGCGACCUCAUGAGUGUCAGAGUAGAAAGAGUAAAUCACCAGGCCUUUCUUCCAAAGCACCUCUGGGUGGGUUUGAACCACCAACCUUUAGGGUAGCAGUUGAGGGCAUUAACCAUUGCACCACCUAGGAACUCCUAAGGAGGGUGCAGAGAUGAGAAAACGGACACGUGAAGUCUGGAGAGGAGGAAUCCCCCCACAAGGCAGGGCACCCGAGCCAGGCCCUGGGGGGAAAGUGAAGCAGGGGCAGGGGAGGCUUCUUCUACAGGACAGCCAGGCCAUCCCAGUGUCACAGGACAGCCAGGCCAUCCCAGUGUCACAGGACAGCCAGGCCAUCCCAGUGUCACAGGACAGCCAGGCCAUCCCAGUGUCGCAUGGCCGCGGAUCUGCUGGCUGGAGACCAAGUUCUCGUGAUGGUCAGAAGCUACAGAGAGAGGAGAGCACUACUAUAACCUGACCCUAGGAAUGCCAAUAAAUUACCUUAAACAAGCCCAAGCCAGAGUUGGUCCACCUCACAUGCACAGAAGGGUCAGGUGUGACUGCUGAUUGACUUCAACAGAAGAUGCAGCAACAGAGGAAUGAAUCAGAAGGAAAAUCAUCACCCAGACCCCAUUCUGAAGCAAGAGGUCCAAAGAGAACCACAUCACCUCCUGUUUCCUGGUCACCUUCUAGAAUUUUCUCCUCCCAGUACAGCUGCACAGCCGCCAUCUUGCUGCCCAAAUCACAUAUAAGUCCUGCUUCCCAGUAGCUUGGGGAGCUGGAUCUGAGGAACUUCCUCCCCACUCCUUGCUCUGCACAUUGCAAUAAAGCUACUUUCUCUUUCUCAAAGACCGGUGUCUAGAUCAGUGCCAAGUCUGAGUGUGCUGGACAAGGACCCACCUUCUAGGGUUCGGUAACACUACUUCAGGGACCCUGAGGGGAGGAAGAAGGAGAUAGACAAAAGGGUAGGACCAUGAGGGCCCAUGAUCAAGUGGUCGAGGAGGGACAUUAGGUGAGAAAGGGCACCACACUGGGAGACUCAGCCAGGCCUGGUGUGUGUGACCCACUAACACGCAGGACCCUAGACGCAGGCACUGGGGGAAGAGUCCACCUGCAGGUCAAAUGACCAGUCAGUCAUGAAGCUAGCUGCACAGGCCAGGCUCUUUCCUCCUGCAUGUUCUCUGUGAGCUUUCCUGAGUCUGAUUGCUCAGCACACGGUGACCCUAGAGCAGCUGACCUGGCUCUGGGCAGGACCCACAGUGACAGCCAGAACAGGCUCUGUGAGUCCUGUAUGUGCAGCGUCCAAGGCGAGGAAAGGGUCAGACAGAGCCUGAGGCCUGGGAAGAUCCACACAAGUAUGUAGUGCCUGCGGCCACGGCUGCCCCCAGACUCCCCAGACUGCAGCAAGGCCUUUUAUUUGUCAUUGCUGCUGUUGAUCUGCUUGUGGAAUGAUGGCCAGAAAAGUCCCGAGACCAAGAGGAAAAAUGUUGGGCCCUAGACCAGCACCCACAAAAGGAGUGCCCUCGAUUCCACAGUCUUACAGAGUGGAGGCACAGGCAAGGCACUACUGAGCCUCCACAUUGGAGCUUUGUAGGCAGUGCCUUGUGAAGGAUGGGGGUGGACAGCUAAAGGGACAGCAAGUGCCUCAGGU